UAGGGAAUCUUCCACAAUGGACGCAAGUCUGAUGGAGCAACGCCGCGUGAGUGAAGAAGGGUUUCGGCUCGUAAAGCUCUGUUGUUAAGAAGAACGUGGGUAAGAGUAACUGUUUACCCAGUGACGGUAUUUAACCAGAAAGCCACGGCUAACUACGUACCAG
rnacentral:rRNA from 1 species